rnacentral:tRNA from 2 species
GGCCUGAUAGCUCAGUUGGUAGAGCAAAGGACUGAAAAUCCUUGUGUCGGUGGUUCAAUUCCUGCUCAGGCCAC